GAGGAGGUGAAGAAGAACAACCAUGUAGUAAGAAAGUUGGAGAAGCGUCAACAGAUUUGCACCCUUGACCAGCAUAUUGAAGAGCAAUUUGGUGGUGGUCUUCUAUUGGCUUGUAUCUCAUCACGACCUGGACAGUGGCUGUGCUGAUGGGAUGGGAAAACAUUGGACAAUGAGUUGGAGGUUGUUGAGGGAAUGAAGCUAGACAGGGGCUACAUAUCCCCUUAUUUCAUCACCAACCAGAACAAUCAGAAAUGUGAAUUGGAAAAUCCUCUAAUCAUAAUCCAUGAGAAGAAAAUCUCAAGUAUUAAUGAUGUGGUUAAAGUAUUGGAGUUGGUUUUGCAGAUCUGUAGAUAACCUGUUGUUGCUGAUAUUGCUACACGGG